UACAGAGGGCGCGAGCGUUGUCCGGAAUCACUGGGCGUAAAGGGCGCGUAGGUGGCCACUAUAAGGCCGCGGUGAAAGUUCGGGGGCUCAACCCCUGAAUCUGCCGCGGCGACUGUAGGGCUUGGGCACCGUAGAGGCAGAUGGAAUUCCGGGUGUAGCGGUGGAAUGCGUAGAGAUCCGGAAGAACACCGGUGGCGAAGGCGGCCCACUGGUCCGGUACUGACGCUGAGGUGCGAAAGCGUGGGGAGCAAACAGG
rnacentral:rRNA from 1 species